rnacentral:rRNA from 1 species
AACGAACGCUGGCGGCAGGCUUAACACAUGCAAGUCGAGCGCCCCGCAAGGGGAGCGGCAGACGGGUGAGUAACGCGUGGGAAUCUACCCAUCUCUACGGAAUAACGCAUGGAAACGUGUGCUAAUACCGUAUACGUCCUUCGGGAGAAAGAUUUAUCGGAGAUGGAUGAGCCCGCGUUGGAUUAGCUAGUUGGUGGGGUAAAGGCCUACCAAGGCGACGAUCCAUAGCUGGUCUGAGAGGAUGAUCAGCCACACUGGGACUGAGACACGGCCCAGACUCCUACGGGAGGCAGCAGUGGGGAAUAUUGGACUAUGGGCGCAAGCCUGAUCCAGCCAUGCCGCGUGAGUGAUGAAGGCGCUAGGGUUGUAAAGCUCUUUCACCGGUGAAGAUAAUGACGGUAACCGGAGAAGAAGCCCCGGCUAACUUCGUGCCAGCCGCCGCAGUAAAAC